GUAGGUGGCAAGCGUUGUCCGGAAUUAUUGGGCGUAAAGCGCGCGCAGGCGGUCCUUUAAGUCUGAUGUGAAAGCCCACGGGCUCAACCGUGGAGGGUCAUUGGAAACUGGGGGACUUGAGUACAGAAGAGGAAAGCGGAAUUCCAAGUGUGGCGGUGAAAUGCGUAGAGAUUUGGAGGAACACCAGUGGCGAAGGCGGCUUUCUGGUCUGUAACUGACGCUGAGGCGCGAAAGCGUGGGGAGCAAACAGGAUUAGAUACCCUGGUAGUCCACGCCGUAAACGAUGAGUGCUAAGUGUUAGGGGGUUUCCGCCCCUUAGUGCUGCAGCUAACGCAUUAAGCACUCCGCCUGGGGAGUACGGCCGCAAAGGCUGA
rnacentral:rRNA from 1 species